rnacentral:rRNA from 1 species
ACUAAUGGGCAGCAGGUGAAUGCCUUGGCGCUGAGAGGCGAUGAAGGACGCAGCAAGCUGCGAUAAGCCAUGGUGAGCCGCAAGCAGGCUUUGACCCGUGGAUUUCCGAAUGGGGAAACCCUCCCUUCUAAGGGAACUGCCGGAUGAAUUCAUAGUCCGUCAGGGCGAAACGAGGUGAAGUGAAACAUCUCAGUAACCUCAGGAAAAGAAAACGAAGUGAUUCCGUCAGUAGUGGCGAGCGAACGCGGAAUAGCCCAAACCGAAUUGAUUCAUCAAUUCGGGGUUGCGGGACCUCCGUAAGCAAAUCCAAAGACCAGCCGAAUGGCCUGGAAAGGCCAGCCAAAGACCGUGACAGCCGGGUCGGUUAACUCGAUGGGUUUGUGGGAGGUAUCCCAAGUAACGCGGUGCACGUGAAACUCCGCGUGAAUCUGUCCAGACCACUGGAUAAGGCUAAAUACUCCUCAGCGACCGAUAGUGAACUAGUACCGCGAGGGAAAGGCGAAAAGAACCCCUGCUAGGGGAGUGAAAUAGAUCCUGCAACCCGCUGCCUACAAUGUGUGGGAGCUCCGCAAGGAGUGACCGCCUGCCUUUUGCAUAAUGAGUCUGCGAGUUAUUAUCAGUGGCCAGCAUCAGCCUCUUUGAGGUGGAUGCGAAGCGAAAGCGAGUACGAAAUGUGCGACUAGUCGCUGGUAAUAGACCCGAAGCGGAGGUGAUCUACUCUUGAGCAGGUUGAAACCAAGGUAACACUUGGUGAAGGACCGAACUCGUGGAUGUUGAAAAAUCCUGAGAUGACUUGAGAGUAGGAGCGAAAGACUAAUCAAACCCCGUGAUAGCUGGUUCUCUCCGAAAUCGCUUGAGGGCGAGCGUUGGGAAAGUAAACCGAGGAGGUAGAGCACUGGAUGGCUUAGGGUCCCUACCGGGAUGCCAAAACCAAUCAAACUCCGAAUUCCUCGGGAUCCAUUACCCCAGCAUUCAGACGGCGAGGGAUAAGCUUCGUCGUCGAGAGGGCAACAGCCCAGACCUGCAGCUAAGGUGCCUAAACAUGGUUAAGUGGAAAGGAUGUGACGUUACUUAGACAGUGAGGAUGUUGGCUUAGAGGCAGCCAUCAUUUAAACAGUGCGUAACAGCUGACUCAUCGAGUGAUGUCGCGCCGAAAAUGAUUGGCGAUAAAUCAUGUACCGAAGCUCAGGAUUGCAUCCGGAUUCGUCUAGAUGCAGUGGUAGGAGAGCGUAACCCGUGCUGUGAAGGUCAUCCGAAAGGAGAGCUGGAGCGCUGGUUAGUGAGAAUGCAGACACGAGUAGCGAUAAACCAGAUGAGAAUUCUGGUCGCCGUAAACCCAAGGUUUCCUGGGCCAGGUUCGUCCUCCCAGGGUUAGUCGGGAGCUAAGACGAGGUCGUAAGACGUAGUCGAUGCACAGCCGGUCAACAUUCCGGCACCGAACCGGGUCAAACCGAUGGUGACGCAUGAUGGAACGCAGCAGGGUCAUUGAAAGAUCCAGCCUAGGAGCAAUCCGAAGCACGCUGCCGGAAGUUGUGCCUAGAAAAGCCAUCGGCCCUUUCCCGGUCGCCCGUACCGUAAACCGACACAGGUGGGUGGGUGUAAGUGCACCAAGGCGCGCGAGAGAGCCCUCUCUAAGGAACUCGGCACAUUAGCCCCGUAACUUCGGGAGAAGGGGUGCUCACUUCGGUGAGCCACAGUAAAUUGCGUUUAGCGACUGUUUAACAAAAACACAGCACUCUGCCACGUCGUUAAGACAACGUAUAGGGUGUGACAAGUGACCAAUGCGGAAAGAUCAAGGCAAGUUGUUAGCCGCAAGGCGAAGCUCCGAACCUAAGUCCCCGUGAAUGUCGGCCGUAACUAUAACGGUCCUAAGGUAGCGAAAUUCCUUGUCGGGUAAGUUCCGACCUGCACGAAUCUUGUAACGACUGAACGACUGUCUCGGAGAGGUUCUCGGCGAAACUGUAAUGGCGGUGAAGAUGCCGCCUGCCCGCAGUAGGACGGAAAGACCCUAUGCACCUUUACUGUAAGCUCGUAUUGGCUUCUGAUUGAUGAUGCUUAGCGUAGGUGGGAGACUUUGAAGGCACGGUUUCGGUUGUGCUGGAGUCGAAAUGUGAAACACCACUCUUUGUCAAUUAGGAGUCUAACCUCGAUCCCGUUAGCCGGGCGAGGGACAGUGCGUGCGGGUCAGUUUGGCUGGGGCGGCUUCCUCCCAAAUGGUAACGGAGGAGCGCGAAGCUGGGCUCAGCAUGGUUGGCAACCAUGCGUCGAGCGUAUGGGUAGAAGCCCGGUUAACUGCGAGACCAACAAGUCAAGCAGAUGCGAAAGCAGGCCCAAAUGAUCCGAUGGUUGAAUGUGGAAUUGCCAUCGCUCAACGGACAAAAGGUACGCUAGGGAUAACAGGCUGAUCGGGACCAAGAGUUCACAUCGACGUCCCGGUUUGGCACCUCGAUGUCGGCUCAUCGCAUCCUGGGGCUGGAGAAGGUCCCAAGGGUCCGGCUGUUCGCCGGUUAAAGCGGUACGCGAGCUGGGUUCAGAACGUCGUGAGACAGUUCGGUCCUUAUCCACUGUGGGCGGAGGAAACUUGAGGGGUUCAUUCCUUAGUACGAGAGGACCGGGAAUGACGCACUUCUGGUGUGGCAGUUGUCGUGUCAACGGCAUCGCUGCGUAGCCACGUGCGGAAGGGAUAAGCGCUGAAAGCAUCUAAGUGCCAAGCCCAUCCCAAGAUAUGGUUUCCCGGACGCAAGUCCCUGAAGACACCAGGCAGACUACCUGGUUGAUAGGCUGGGCGUGCAAGCUCCGUGAGGGGUUGAGCGGACCUUUAUCGUGACUGGGAAACAGAUCG